GAGGGCGGCGGCCGGCAAGGUGGAGGGGUCCAAACAGCGUGUCCUGUACUGCAGAAUCAUGAGCAGAUAGUGAGACGGCCUGGAGCUGUACCAGCCCCACCUCACCCCCAAAGACCUGAUGGAUGGGGAAGAGCAGCCUCCUCUCCAGUACCACUGCCCAGGGAAGAAGCUUUCCUAGCCCCUCCUGGCUGAUGUGUACAGCAGGAGCAAGGAGGCAGCAACUCCUUCUUUGAAGUAAGAAGAUAACUGAGCAAGAGUCUCACGUGCAGCCACGUCACUUCACACUGUGGUGUCACCUUAGCAGAAUCUGGAAGUGGACGAGAACUUCUUCCCAGGCAUUCCUUUGAUCACAGUUUCUUGUAAAAAAAGCUACACUGGAUUCUCGAAGGAUUCACAGAGACCUAAAAGACAUUGACCUCAGCACCACUCUUCUAGGACCUUGGAGAAGGAUGGAAAAUGUGAAAAAUAGAAGUAAGGUAUAAGAAGCCUAUAUUAUUCUGUAUUGAAGGAACCAAAGCCGUGUUACCAGAUUCAGUUGUUAUUGUGUAGUAUCAGUAGUAAAAAAGACUUUACAUGUGUGUGUACACGGCGCGUAUGUGUUUUCACAUGCCUGCUGAACUGUAGGCAGACUGGAGCAGAACAUUCACUUCAGUACAUAUGCUCCACUUCAAAAACCAAAUCUGGCGUUCUCCUUAAUUUUCAGAAUUCAAGUGCAAGUUUAUCCAAGCAAGCUUGUAUUUAGAUUCCCGCUCUGCAGUGUCAUGUGCUGCCCAUUUCCAUGGCAGUGUGUAUGUCUGGGUAUGUAUUUGAUAUAUUGUUCGAUCUCUAUGUAACACCAAGUUGGGCAGUCCAGUCUUUCUGCAGGGAUUAAGUUGUUAAAAGAAAGGAUCAGCUGCCAGUUAUUUAUUAUGUGAAACGCAUGUGUCUUGUAACCUUUUUUUAAAAACAGAAAAGACUUUAUUAAGCAAAUCAGUGAAUGCCUGCUUGUGUUGCACAUUGCUCUGUCUUAGGGAAUGCAUAACAAUGCGACUGAUACAGAGCAAAAACAAGCCAAGAAAUACCUCCUAAUGUAGUGCGUUCACUUCUCCCUUGGGAGUUUGCUCUGAAGGUAGGUUGCUGUCCUGAAAUUCUUGCUCCUUCAAACCCAGUGAGUCCUUCAGAUAUUUUAUGUUGGCCAUCGAAGUAUAGCAGCAGCUGCUCUAAGUACUCCAUCAUGCAUUUGGUGACAUACCUGUCAGGUUCAUCAGAGGCAGAAUAGCUUUUGGAAACUACCAGCAAAGAAUAAGAGGUGAGAAGCAGCAGACUGCAAAGCUGCUCUCCGGGGAGAGUUAAAGCCAAGGAGAUUUCAGGCAAGCUGAGGCAGGGGAAAGAAAAGAUUGCAACAGUUCAGUCUUUGCAUUCUUUUGGAGUUGGUCGUGGUACCCUUUAUAAAUCAUAUUCAUCAAGGCUGCUGUCCUCUUUGCGUGGCGCUUCCUCGACAAAGAUAAUAGCCACUGCAAAAUAUCUAAAUACCUCUGCAUGCCUGUGUUUGGUCUAUGGUCUUUUAGGGGUAUUUGUGAUGUUUUAGCUUCUGAGAUCUAGCCUGGAAGAUGCAUAUAGGUCUACGUAUUUCAUUUACUUUACAAAAUCUUGGAGGUGCCCAGAUUUUUCUCCUCCUCUUUAUGAUGGUGCACAUAGUGGCUGAGACCCCACACUCCACACAGGCAAAUUUUGAAUUUCAUUUUGUGGCCUUUUGGGGAAGCCAAAAACAUACAUGGCUUUUUAAAAGUGAUUAAGUAAAUUCAUGGCCUAAGACUAUUGGUGGCUGUUUUGCCCAGGGGUUCAGAGGCAGCUUCCAGCUUGGGACAUCACUGAGCACUUGCUGAUGGGAAAGGCUAUAUUGAGGCAGAGCGUUCUCCAGACACACCUUUACACUCUUCCCUAGCCACCUCCGUUGGCCACCAUCAGAGAGGAUACUUGCAGCACAGCUGUCCUUACCUAAUUAUAAGGAUAACUCUUUGACGAGAGUUGUUCUUAAUCUGAAGUCUUACGCUAUUUACAUUGCUGCGGAGUAUGCAACAACUGUGGGCCUUUUUUUAAACUUUCCCCUUGUAUCUUUUUUGCCUGUAACUGCUUGAUCAGUAAAACAUCAUUCCAAGUAAGACAGAAGGGGUUCAGAAUUACAGCCUAACUUGAAUGAAAUUCAAGUAAAGAUUCGGCAGGCCACACACCUGCAUUCAGGAGAGUUGUGCGUAGCAAGCAUAGGUAGAAAGGUUUCAAUAGACCUGCCCUUUAGAAUUUGUAUCACUUUUAAUCUGAUCGCUACAUGCAGUUUAGCUUGCAUGAAGUCAUAUAUGUUGCAGGAGGUAGUUUUUCAUCUCUGAGUAUGGGAGACUUUCUUGUCCCUCGAGAGUCUCUGUAGCCUGGGAAUAGAGACCUGCAAAGCUGUUGUCAGAUUAGUACUUAAUUUUUUGCAAAAGGUAAAUAGAGCCAGGAAGACAGCAGUGUGCCUAGCGUCCAGGUGUUGUAUGCCUGUUGAAGAAACAGGUCUCAGGCCUAUCUCACGUGACUAAGUCUCAUGCUUGUUCCGGUACAUUUGAAAUCUUGCUUUCUGCUCUGCAACUUGUUCUUGAGAAGACAACGAUAAGAAAGUCCAGUGGCCUCUUUGCAUCCUGAAAGGUAAGCUGGUAGAAGCCAAACUAAAAGAGAGUAAUAAUUGUGAAAGUCAAAAAGAAAAGUAAAUAUUAAUACUUUUCAAGGGAGGAGGGAGGUGGCUGUUUACUUCAGCAAAAUAUUUUGUCCUACUCUGCUUGCAGCAAAACUUGGAAAAGGCAGGUUUACAAGUGUGCUUACAUGGCUGAGAAACUGUUCCUGUCCCCUAGGUCUUCUUGCUUGUAGCGAACUGUAAGAAAAAAACAGAACCCUCUAAACCCAGUAUCUGUUUCUCUGCCUGGUAUGUUUUAGGCUUGAUUGGUUUCUAGUGCCUUGGUUAACUUUUGUAGUCUGUGAAAUAGAUGAGGUUUCAAGGCAGAAGAAAUGUUUCUUAUUUUUUCCUAAAUGCUGAAAAUUACCUUAUUUAGCAAGAAGGAGGGUUUUUUCAUAUAUUUAUAAAUGUUGAGGCAUAACAUUCAUGAGUGGUGAGUAAGUUGCUGCUCGUUUCGUCCCUUUUCUACAGAUUCAGGCUUUUUUACAGUCUCUUCUCCUUUUUCCUGUCCUGAUUCAUCGAGCAGAGAGUUUUGCCAGCUCUCACUUGUUUGUGAUUUAAGAGCUAGUCAGAAAAUGACUGUCAAAGAGGGUUGUGGGCAAUUUUUGCUAGCUAUAUUUAUUAAAAAAACCUCCUUAUUCAGAGAUCCUGCAAUGUCUCCUAGUACGUGCUGGCUACCCACAGGUUCAAGACCUGCCUGCAGAACCUAUGGGGUGGAUUUUUGGGGGACUGCCUCAAAAUUGACUGAGCAGCAGCCAUCUGUUUUUUUUAAUAAUGUUUCAGGGAUGCUGCUUGAAUUUUCCAUUACCUUUUAAAAUCAGUCCCUCGGUUCAAACCUGAUCUUUGUGUGCCUCUCGCUGCCACGUAUCUGCUUCCUCCUGCACUGGUCCUGCUGAUCUUCACUCCAGACCUUGCACCGCGUUGUGAGCUGAGGCAAAACUCAUUAUCUCUGGUGAAAGAACUAGGAAGCCUUUGAGUACAAUGAAAAUAAUAAAUAUGACAAGUGAGGACCAGUAUUACAGCCCUCAAGCAAAGAAACCUCAUUAGUCUAUGGUUUAGUUAUGGCUUUGGUUAUUUACAGUUCAAUAUGUUUUUUGGCUGUCUCUAUACGCCUACAGUGUAACUGUGCUCUAACAAGCGACUGUGCGUUUACAAUGAACACGCUCAUAAAAUUACAGCAACUGUUUCUUCAUGGGGCUUCUGUGAAAAUCCUGCCGUGUUUGUACAUAACAGAUAGGCCUACAGGAAAGUCACAUUGAGUUUUCCCAUUUGAAAUGCCCAGCAAGUAUCAACACAAUAUACAUCUGAAUACAAAUAUUUUCCAUUAGUUCUGUUUAAAGUACUGGCUAACAACAGAGUGUCCACAAAUCAUUCUGUAUUGAAUUUCACACUUGUGCUCAGGCGAUUUACUGUAGGUCUUAUUUCUCUUUUAAACUUUUUUUUUUUUUUCUGAACAGAAAAUUCCCCAAGGAAAUCUCCUUGGUAAUCAGAAAUUAUGUUAGGCAUCCUUUCAAAACAUACUGCUAACUUUCGUUGACUGAAACUAUAUCCAGAAAAGACAAUAAUUACAACGUUAAAAAACUAAUCAGUAGGUAUCUUGCAAGCAUCUCAAGUCAGAUACUGCAUCUAAGGGCUGCGCUGCUUCUAAAAGUAGAAUUUCUGGAUUUGUUUGGAAUAUUUGGAAUAAUAUGAAUAAGUGAUGCCACUACAGUAGGCCAAAGCUAUUUGGAAAAAUGAUUAGAUUGUUUUCAGUUCAUGAAUAAAUACUAAUGAAUUAAAGAUGAAAUAACUUAAGAGUGUAGAUGUACAGGCUCAAAAAUGUCUAUGUGUGGAAAAUACAGCUGAAUAGACAAGCUCAUCGUUUCCAAUUUUAGAAGCUAU